GGAUGCAUUUGAUGUGAAUCACUUCUGUCCUAUUUCUUUAGAAUCAUUCAUUUGACACGUUCUAUGUCUGUUCCUGCAUGGAUGAUCAAUAAAUCUACAGCCUCACAGAUAGAAUGCAAUAAUGAAAAAAAGAGAGAAGAUCAGCAUCUCGUGACCAGAUAAGGCCAUGAAAGGCAAUCCAGUGAAAUUCUGCCCUGUGUAGGAAAAAGGAGCUGCGGCUGUCAGAUGCAGAGUCCCUGAGCGCACACGAGAGCCUGUGCUGAGAACACAAUCUGCUGAGGGAAAAAAGGGCAUUUUCAACACUGACAUUUACCUGGAUUAAUUAUAAAUAUCUCAUUAAAUGAAAAAACAUCUCCUUAGUGGCCUUGCGUUGACAAAUGAAUCAUUUGUCAACAUUUUCCAUGCUUCACACAUCACACUGUGUGAACUGCUGAACUGUGCUGUAUAACAGGUACUGAUAUGAUAUCGUACCACUGUAAUUUUAACCAUACUCAUGUUAUUUUUAAUAUUAAAGUUGGUGUGUCUGUUUUUACCUUAAA